CCACCUACGGGGGGCAGCAGUGAGGAAUAUUGGUCAAUGGGCGGGAGCCUGAACCAGCCAAGUCGCGUGAGGGAAGACGGUCCUAUGGAUUGUAAACCUCUUUUGUCGGGGAGCAAAGAGACCACGUGUGGUCAAAAGCGAGAGUACCCGAAGAAAAAGCAUCGGCUAACUCCGUGCCAGCAGCCGCGGUAAUACGGAGGAUGCGAGCGUUAUCCGGAUUUAUUGGGUUUAAAGGGUGCGUAGGCGGGCUGUUAAGUCAGCGGUCAAAUGUCGGGGCUCAACCCCGGCCUGCCGUUGAAACUGGG
rnacentral:rRNA from 1 species